ACCCCACUUUAUCAGGAAAAGCACGAGAACAGAACUUACAUGACACCUGGCUGGGAGCAAAGGCUGCUGGUUUCAAAAUAGUCAACGAUGAAUUGGCGUGGAAUCUUCCGGCUGUAGGAGAAGCAGCAGGCAGUCGGGGUGUCAGCUCCAUCUGUAGGGGAAGAAAGUCAUCAUUGAACAGGCUUUCUCUAAUACCAGAAGUCAGCAAAGAAGACACCAGAGCAUCACCAUAAGACAUCCCAGAGGCAGAGCUCCUUAAGAAUCCCAGGGCUGGCUAGUAAGUACAUGACAACACUAUCCUUACUGUGAUUUCAAGUUCUGGGUACCUAUAAAAGGUUAGACCCUUCCACACCAUAGAGAGGAAAAUAAAAAUCUCAAAGAGAAAGACCAGCUUCUUUUCUCUUGUAGACUCUGAAACCACAGAAAAGACUGCUAUGGUCUGCCUUAGACCAGAGACUGGGGACACCUCCUGUAGCAGUGUAGACUCACAUGGCGCUGAGAAGACUUGGUUGCAGAGUGUCAUGGUACAGAGAAGAACAGCAAGGGCAGUGGUGGAGACCUUCAUGAUGUUGAGCAGGUGACAGAGGGUGAGCUUGUCAGCAGAACAGAAAAGGGACUGGUACUCGCUGCUGCUUGUAUCCUUCUGGUGUCUGAAGCCAUAUGCCCCUUCUCUUAUAGGUAGCCCUAGCAGAUGAGGAAAUGGAAUCCGGGGCUGAGGAGGGAAAAUUUUAAGCACAGCAAUGGUGUCAUGAUGGAUAUUACACAACCCAGGGUCCACAGUGACCACAGGGGCCCAGGAUAUCUAAGAAUAGCAUCUCUGAGAUAUAAGUCUCAGCUCUCAACUCGUGACCUAUUCUUUCUUCUUGUGGGGAAGUAGUUUCUCUUAUGAGCAGGAGGAGGUAGGACAGUGUCAACCCAGGGCUAUUCUUAGCUGGUCCCAUCUCAUGAGAACCGUUCUGUGAAUAAACACUCCAAACCCAUUCCUUGCCAUGGAACGGAAACUCUCGUUAUUUCUCAGCUUCUCUAACCACAUGGAAGAAUAGCUGUGGAUGGUGGCACAACAGCCCCUCCUACCACCACAGUGAGGGACUGAGGAAAAGCAUCUCCAGCUCGAGCAAUGGGGAAGACGCGGUCACAUUUAAGACAUUUGUCCAAUCAUCAGCCGCAAAGUGACUAGGCCACUGGGUUGAACAUUAGUUGUGGAUCAUAAAGAUACUUCAAGUGUGGGCGUUAAUAUGUGAGAAGCCUAAAAAUAUUUUUUCCAUUAAGCUAGAAAUAGCCUUUCUAGGAAAGAUUUUUGGGGAAACAACCCAAAUGUAAAGCCAUCUCUAAAUAUUGAGACAGCUGGUCCAUUGUCAUUAUAACUUGAAACUAAAGAAACAAAACCUUUCACUAUGAAAAAAUUAUAAAUUAAAUUAUAGUAUAUACAUUGGAUUGCUUGUUUAUGAAGCUCUUAAAAUUAAAAUGACAUAAGUACACUCAUAACAUUGGUGAUAAAAAUAUCAAGAAACAUUGUACAAGUUUUACAAAGUGAAGAAUUCUACAAAUAUCUGGAAAUAUACAGUUUUUCACACCAAACCCAGGCAUUAUAAAUAAAUAAUACUGGAAUUUUUUUUUAAAAAAUCACUAAAAAUAAAAACUUUAAAGAAUUAUUAAAACUUGUGA
rnacentral:lncRNA from 1 species